rnacentral:lncRNA from 1 species
GGAGAUUAGAGAUGAUAAAGAUGACGGUGGCGGUGGCGGUGGUUGAGGGUGGCUGGAGAGAUGAUGAACGAAGAAGAUAAACAGAGUGUGCGGUGGUGUGUGAGUGAUGAUCGAAGUGGAGAAAGGGUGGUGAACGAUGAUGUUGAUGACUGGAGGUUCGAGAGACGGUGACAGGAGAUGAAGACGAGGACAAAGGAGAUCGGAGGUGGUGGUUAUGGAGGUCCCUACGAAGGUGGUGGUCGUCGGUGUGAUAAGUUGCAGGUUGGUCGGAGACGGCGGAGAUGAUAUUGAUGAUGAACAGUAACGAUGAUGAUGAAGAUGGUGAGAUGAUGGUCGACGGAGAUCAACGGAGAAGAUAAACAGAGUGUGCGGUGGUGUCGGAAGAGAUGACGGAUGGAUUCGGAGACGGUGAUGGUGGUGAAAACGGAGAAGAUGACGAAAGUAGAUGAACGGAGGUGAAGUUCGAAAUGACGAUUCCGGAUGAAUGAAGUGAUGAAUACGGUCCGAGAUGACGGUUCCGGAUGAUUUCGGAUGAGAUGAUGUUGGAUGGAUUGACGAUUACAGAUGAUUACCAAGAGGUAGAUGAAUGAAUGAAUGAUGAACUGGAUGUGUUUGAACAAGUAUUUCGGAUGGUUUUGUGUUGAUUACGGAUGAAGAAGGUGCGAUGUCGGAUUAUUACGGAUUAGAUGAUGAUUUCGGAUGAAUGAUAUGAAGAAGAUCCGAAAUGAUGAAACUGACAGUUGAUGAUGUACGAUGAUUUGAUGAUGUCUGAGAUAGUGAUUGUUAAGGAUAAAGAUGAAUGAAUGAAGAUGAAUUGAU